rnacentral:rRNA from 1 species
GACGAACCGAGCGAACGUUGUUCGGAAUCACUGGGCUUAAAGGGCGCGUAGGCGGGUGCUCAAGUCCGGGGUGAAAUCCCACAGCUCAACUGUGGAAUUGCCUCGGAUACUGGGUGUCUCGAGGGUGGUAGGGGUAUGCGGAACUAUCGGUGGAGCGGUGAAAUGCGUUGAUAUCGAUAGGAACUCCGGUGGCGAAGGCGGCAUACUGGACCACUUCUGACGCUGAGGCGCGAAAGCCAGGGGAGCGAACGGG